GACGUAGGGGGCAAGCGUUAUUCGGAAUCAUUGGGCGUAAAGCGCGCGUAGGCGGGUUGGUAAGUCCGCUGUGAAAGCCCGGAGCUUAACUCCGGAGGGUCGGUGGAUACUGCCAGUCUUGAAGGUGCUAGGGGGAGAUGGAAUUACCGGUGUAGCGGUGAAAUGCGUAGAUAUCGGAAGGAACACCUGUGGCGAAAGCGGCUCACUGGACCAUAACUGACGCUGAGGCGCGAAAGCGUGGGGAGCAAACAGG
rnacentral:rRNA from 1 species